rnacentral:rRNA from 1 species
CAAAGGUUGACCUCGGAUCAGGUAGGAAUACCCGCUGAACUUAAGCAUACAA